AUCCAAAUGAUGAGUUCAAAACAGGAGGAAACGCGCGUCCUGGAU
rfam:Schistosoma rodhaini strain Burundi genome assembly, scaffold: SROB_scaffold0006237